AUUGAACGCUGGCGGCAGGCCUAACACAUGCAAGUCGAGCGGAGCGGCGGACGGGUGAGUAAUGCCUAGGAAUCUGCCUGGUAGUGGGGGAUAACGUCCGGAAACGGGCGCUAAUACCGCAUACUAUCAGAUGAGCCUAGGUCGGAUUAGCUAGUUGGUGGGGUAAAGGCCUACCAAGGCGACGAUCCGUAACUGGUCUGAGAGGAUGAUCAGUCACACUGGAACUGAGACACGGUCCAGACUCCUACGGGAGGCAGCAGUGGGGAAUAUUGGACAAUGGGCGAAAGCCUGAUCCAGCCAUGCCGCGUGUGUGAAGAAGGUCUUCGGAUUGUAAAGCACUUUAAGUUGGGAGGCGUUACCAACAGAAUAAGCACCGGCUAACUUCGUGCCAGCAGCCGCGGUAAUAC
rnacentral:rRNA from 1 species